rnacentral:rRNA from 1 species
UGGGGAAUUUUGGACAAUGGGCGAAAGCCUGAUCCAGCCAUGCCGCGUGAGUGAAGAAGGCCUUCGGGUUGUAAAGCUCUUUUAGUCGGAAAGAAAGAGUUGCAAUGAAUAAUUGUGAUUAAUGACGGUACCGACAGAAAAAGCACCGGCUAACUACGUGCCAGCAGCCGCGGUAAUACGUAGGGUGCGAGCGUUAAUCGGAAUUACUGGGCGUAAAGGGUGCGCAGGCGGUCUUGCAAGUCAGAUGUGAAAGCCCCGGGCUUAACCUGGGAAUUGCGUUUGAAACUACAAGGCUAGAGUGCAGCAGAGGGGAGUGGAAUUCCAUGUGUAGCAGUGAAAUGCGUAGAGAUGUGGAAGAACACCGAUGGCGAAGGCAGCUCCCUGGGUUGACACUGACGCUCAUGCACGAAAGCGUGGGGAGCAAACA